rnacentral:rRNA from 1 species
AGCACGUUAUGGUGGGCACUCUAAGGAGACUGCCGGUGACAAACCGGAGGAAGGUGGGGAUGACGUCAAGUCAUCAUGGCCCUUACGGCCUGGCUACACACGUGCUACAAUGGUCGGUACAAAGGGUUGCCAAGCCGCGAGGUGGAGCUAAUCCCAUAAAACCGAUCGUAGUCCGGAUCGCAGUCUGCAACUCGACUCCAUGAAGUUGGAAUCGCUAGUAAUCGUGGAUCAGCAUGCCACGGUGAAUACGUUCCCGGGCCUU